rnacentral:rRNA from 1 species
AGUAAUGUCUGGGAAACUGCCUGAUGGAGGGGGAUAACUACUGGAAACGGUAGCUAAUACCGCAUAACGUCGCAAGACCAAAGAGGGGGACCUUCGGGCCUCUUGCCAUCAGAUGUGCCCAGAUGGGAUUAGCUAGUAGGUGGGGUAACGGCUCACCUAGGCGACGAUCCCUAGCUGGUCUGAGAGGAUGACCAGCCACACUGGAACUGAGACACGGUCCAGACUCCUACGGGAGGCAGCAUG